rnacentral:rRNA from 1 species
UACGAAGGGUGCAAACGUUGCUCGGAAUUAUUGGGCGUAAAGCGCACGUAGGCGGCUUAGCAAGUUGGAUGUGAAAUCCCCGGGCUCAACCUGGGAAUGGCAUUUGGGACUGCAAGGCUUGAGUGCGGCAGAGGAGACUGGAAUUCCUGGUGUAGCAGUGAAAUGCGUAGAUAUCAGGAGGAAUACCGAUGGCGAAGGCAGGUCUCUGGGCUGACACUGACGCUCAUGCACGAAAGCGUGGGGAGCAAACAGG